AUUCCAGCUCCAAUAGCGUAUAUUAAAGUUGUUGCAGUUAAAACGCUCGUAGUCGGAUUUCUGGUGCAUUCCACUGGCCUAUUGGUUAACUCCAACUUGGCUCAUUUGGAAUACGCCAUCUUUAGGCAGACCCGUCGUGGCAUUAGGUUGUCGUGAUGGUUACGCCUAUCGUUUACUGUGAAGAAAUUAGGGUGUUCAAAGCAGGCUUAUGCCAUGAAUACGUUAGCAUGGAAUAAUGAGAUAGGAUUUCGGUACUAUUUUGUUGGUUUGUGUACGGAAAUAAUGAUUAACAGGAACAGUGUUGUGGGUAUUCGUAUUUCGUUGUCAGAGGUGAAAUUCUUGGAUUUACGUAAGACGAACGACUGCGAAAGCAUUUACCAAGGAUGUUUUCAUUA
rnacentral:rRNA from 1 species